rnacentral:rRNA from 1 species
GAUCCUGGCUCAGGAUGAACGCUAGCGAUAGGCUUAACACAUGCAAGUCGAGGGGCAGCAUGGUCUUAGCUUGCUAAGACUGAUGGCGACCGGCGCACGGGUGCGUAACGCGUAUGCAACUUGCCUCACAGAGGGGGAUAACCCGUCGAAAGACGGACUAAUACCGCGUACACUCUAUGUUGGGCAUCCAAUGUAGAGGAAAUGAAAAUUCGCUGUGAGAUAGGCA